GUCCCAAAAAAUAAACAUUGAAAAAAAAAAAAAAAUUUAAAAAAAAAAAUAAAAAAAAAAAAAAAUAAAACGGACACGGCCGAGCUCCUCCCGUAACCAGGAUGAGUGGGCUCCCGGGUCUGUGCUCUGUCCUUCGUUCCCCUGCUAUUGAGAGAAGUGGAAGCCGACAGCACAGGAUGAGAAACACCACCGCUCACGGGCUCGCUCACUGGCUCGCUUCGGGGCGGAGGAGUGUGGGCGGGAAACGGACGCGUCUGCGGGCCCACCCCUCUUGACCGCUGACUUUCUGGGAGCUGGGGGGGUCGGGAGGGGUGGGGGGAGACAAGCCAGCACGGUGACCCGUGGAGCGGACCGUCCCGGGCGACCAGUGACAGUGAUAACGUGUUCAGGCCCCUGGCACGUGCGGUUUGUGAACACACCCUCUGGGGCACCUGCUGCGUCUCGUCUAGUCUGAAAUCUGCCAGAACCCCCACACUUGGUUUGUCUGUCAUUGAAACAGAAGCCUUGCUCUCUUAGAAGUAUUUCUGACCCUUAGCUGCGCUGUGUAAACUUCGGACUUCAUUAGCGCUAGACUGACACUCAUUUUCUGUGAUUUAGUUGAGACUACUCACUUCUUCUACUCCAAAUACUAAUUUCAUUUUGAACUGUUUUUUCUUGAUGUUUAUUUCUUUAUUUGGGGAGAGAGACCGCGCGUGCAUGUGUGCAGGGGAGGGGCAGAGAGAGAGAGAGAGAGAAUCCCGCACAGGCUCUGUGUCAGCACAUAGCCCAACGUGGGGCUCGAUCUCGUCAACUGUGAGGUCACGACCUGAGCCGAAACCAAGAGUCAGACACGCGACCGACCAAGCCGCUGGCGCUCCUUGAACUGUCCGUUAGCUAGUUCCAGGGGUGCUUCGCAGGGGUAGUCACUCUAAUCUCUGCAAGCUUAUUUUGUCCUUCGGGAUGCUUUGAAGAGAAAGGGACCUUACUUCAAGCAUCAUCAGACCCACCGUCCCUUUAACUGACUUGGAGGCAGAGGUAGGAGGCUUGCGGUUAGACUGAGCCACAGGAAGAACCGCUCUGUCCGCCUCCUGCCCCCCGCCGCCCCCACUUCCCUCCUCGUCGGCCACGCUCCCGGACAAGUGCUCGGAAGUAGGUGGCGUGGUGGUCGCGAGGGUGGGUGCCGAGCCCGCCUCCCACCCUGGCUCAGCCGCCUGAGGGUGCGUGACCUCGGACCAGCGUGAGCCCCGGCGUCUUGUGUCGUCGUCCGUAAAAGGAGGGUGACGGUACCUGCUGCAGAGUGCAUCCUGAGGACGGAAUGCUUCCUCUGGGUCCUGGAACAGCCCCGACGUGUCCCGGGCGUGUCACAGCCGCCGCCGUCACGUUCAUUGCGCUUGCUCUUACUGUUUCGUGCAGAUACGCGGACGGUCUUGGUUCCUGUGAGAGGCGCUGGAAUCGGUUCCUCUCGCAAAGCCUUGCUUACCGCGGAGUCUCUGCUGCUCACCCGACGAUUCCUUUAUCCCAGAGAGCACACGGUACUUUACGGACGUCCUCUUGCCUGGCAGACGGGGCCUGGAGCCUCCUGGGGGUCUCUGCUGUGCGACCACGGGCUUCUGCUCAUGAUUGCUCCAUCCUCGGGGGCCGGGCCAUCUCAGGUGGCUCCACGCGGUCUCCGGCCGCGGCCCCGAGCGGGGAUCGCAGCACCAGGGCGGCACGGUGUCUUUAGGAGUUUGUCGUCUCCAGAGUUCAUCUCCCCGACGAACGCUCCCCUGCAGCGUGAGGGCUGACUACGUGUGGGGCUGGGCCCCCGCGCGCGUGUAUUCGGUAACCUCUCACUCACGGCCCACCUGCCCCGGAAGAGCUUCGAAGUAGGUAGAAGACGGGCAGGGGGCAUUCGUCCCGCGGACGCUGAAAGCGUCUCUCCUUCCGCGCGCCGGGAGCUGCGGGGACGAAGCGGGUGGUCCCGGCGCGCAGGUGAUCACCCGUUCUGUGGGAGGGGUCCGGUUCACUCCGUGACCGCAGCCUGAGAAGGGGCGCGGGAGGGGGGCCCGGGGAGGGGGCACGCAGCGUGAUGGGCCCUGGGGGUUCUUCCUGCGCCGCUUACCGAGUGCGUGCUGCGUGCCCGCCACGUGCCAGGCGCCGCUGAGAUGGGACACGCAGGGGCUCGCCCGGCGUCUCGGAGGUGACUCUGGAGUGCGGCCCCAGAUGCACAUGGAACCGCUUCAUGGCCCCAGAAGCCUUUAGUGUGGUUUCAGUUAGAAGUGGUGGUGGCCGUUUCUGAUCCCGAGACCUGUCGUGGGAUGUGGACGCCUCGCUCUGACCGCCCCGUGCCACACUGCGCUUUCAAGUGAGGCUCCACUUGCGGAAAGUAAAUCGUGCCUACCAAGGACAGAGAAUGCACCCUUUGUUCCAGAAUCACCUAGAAGGUGCUGAUCGGGGUUCAGCCCAGGAAGAAAGUGUCUGACACAGCUCUGUCAGAAUUGGGCGGUUUGUGUUCUUGGGCCUUGUGGCUCUUCCUGUGACGUCCUAGUCCCCUGGGGAUUCAGAGGCCAGGAAACGGCCCCUGCCUGCAGAGGGGGUGGUUCCGGGAUGACUCCUUCCUGCCCCUUCUUGGAGCUCGUGCUAAACACAAGUAUUAUUUCAUAUUCUCCAGAUGUGGCCUGUAAUCUACCAAUCUGGCAGCUGUCCCCCCGCCCCCACCAGCCGGGUCAGUCUUCCCGUGACCACGCUCAGGAUUCACAAUUAGCCAGUAAUUGGUAAAUGAGCGAGGACGCACGCGUUCCUUUGUCGGUGCCGCCGGGACACAACACGCGGCAGAGCCUUGAACGCCUCGGAUCCGCACGGCGCUGGAGCGCCUGAACCACAGAUGUUCCCUCAUAUGAAAAUACAGAAGUGCGGAGGGAAAUCAGACACCAGAUAGGCCGACAAUUUGGAGGAGGAGGAGGGAGCCAGAUGGGCGGUUUGUGGCGGUUAUUGGGCACACUCAGGCUUCCAGCGCCAGGCGGGGAGACCCCGGAUAGAAUCCGCACCGCAGAAACUUCUGCUUUAAUUUCCUGACGGAGAAGAGCGUGGGGUUAGCCGGAUGACAUAAUGAGAGUGAAGAGCAGAAGGUAAUUAUGGUAGAUGAAGGCAGAAGGAAAGGGAAGUAUGUUGGCCCUUGGAGGUCGAGUCAGUCCGUGCAGGAAAAGCAUGUGCUGCCCCGGGAAGGGAAGGAACGGUGGCCGUGUUUUGCAGGUGUGUCCUGACCGCCGGCCCUCGUCUGUCCGCAGCUGGGUGCCCCUCACCCUCCAGAAACCCCUGAAUCGUGAGCUCUUCCUCCUUCACCACCUCCACUCAGACGUCCUCUGUGGUUUGGACAAGGUCCUCGUCCUCCGGCAGAGGCCUUGGGGGAGCCCGGGGAUCCCGGGGCAGCAGUUUGAGAGACGCCACUUUUCUCCCCUCAGAAAGUCAGUACGUGAAGAGCAGGGCUGAGGUUGGUGAGGACCUGGGAAGCGGGGCCCCCCAGAACACCCCCCGACACGGGCAGGUUCUCCGACUUGUGUGGCUAGGAGGAAGGCGGAAGUAAGUCAUUGCCGCGGGAAGAGAAGCCGCCCUUUCGACGCCUGCUCGUCCUUUGCCUGACAGCAUCGGCAUAUUUCGAAGUGUUUUGUCUUUUAGCAAGGGAAAGCGUUUUCAGAAGCAUUUUAAACUGAGCUACUUCUUGGCACUCUGAAAAAUUCUUCAGUUUUACCACUUCCGCGAAGAUACUAGUUUAGAUACGGAAGUCGUUUGAGAGCAUCCUGAUCUUUAGCAGAACCGUAGCUUCGUAUUACAAAAACCUUAAUAUUAUAACGUGGCAGGUAAUUACACGGUUUUUGUGAAACCCGAAAACCUGACCAAGUAGGUUCGCCUCAUAUCGAACAUCCUGUUCUCACACCAACUUGUAAAAGGUUUUUAUGCUCUGUGCCCUGCGAAAUAGCUGACUUUGUUAGGCAGUACGUAAGUCCCAUGCCAUCAAUGGGCUUGUUGUCUAAAAAUAAUUUUUCGAAAUGUAUCCCGAAAGCAAAAAUUAAAUGUAGAUCCUAUGUA